rnacentral:rRNA from 1 species
UACGUAGGGUGCAAGCGUUGUCCGGAAUUAUUGGGCGUAAAGAGCGUGUAGGCGGCCAGAUAGGUCCGUUGUGAAAACUCGAGGCUCAACCUCGAGACGCCGAUGGAAACCAUUUGGCUAGAGUCCGGAAGAGGAGAGUGGAAUUCCUGGUGUAGCGGUGAAAUGCGCAGAUAUCAGGAAGAACACCCGUGGCUAAGGCGGCUCUCUAGUACGGUACUGACGCUGAGACGCGAAAGCGUGGGGAGCGAACAGG